UUUACAACAAUUGCUUUCUAAGAACUUAGGCAUUUGUGGAGACAAUGAUGUCACUGUAGGAACUUGCGUUAAGGACAGCGACGUCCCACUUCCUCUGCUCCUGCUCACAGACCCCGAUCUGGCAAAGCUCCCAUCCUACCCUGAUCCUGCCAUGGGCACCAGGCUCCUCUACUGGGCGGCCCUCUGUCUCCUGGGGGCAGAACUCACAGAAGCUGGAGUAACCCAGUCUCCGAGAUAUAAGAUCACAGAGAAAAAACAGCCUGUGGCUUUUUGGUGCAAUCCUAUUUCUGGCCACAAUACCCUUUACUGGUACCGGCAGAACUUGGGACAGGGCCCGGCGCUUCUGGUUCGGUUUGAGAAUGAGGGUGUAGUAGAUGAUUCACAGUUGCCUAAGGAUCGAUUUUCUGCGGAGAGGCUCAAAGGAGUAGACUCCACUCUCAAGAUCCAGCCUGCAGAGCUUGGGGACUCGGCCGUGUAUCUCUGUGCCAGCAGCUUAGCCACAGCGGUGCAGAGACACUUCCCUCCUGUGCACAAAACUGCAGGGCUCGCUCCUCUCUAUCAGCUCACAGCGGCCUUUCCUUAUUCCUCAUCCUCCCAGGGAAGAAGCGAGUUUUCAGAUAUAGCUAGGAUUCAUAUAGUGGGAGGAAAUGAACUCUUUCUUAAAACAUGAGCGCUAUCAUUGUUGUUUGAAAAUGUGUCUCAGGGAUUUGGAACACUUCUUGGGGACAACUGAAGAAACCUAAAGUGACUUAUCAGAGAUUGAGUCCUCAGGGGUAGUGAUAGUUUCUCUCCCAUAAAAGCAUGAUAUCAUGAAACAUGUACAAUAAACUUAAUAAUACAGAUAGUGAUUAUACCAAGCAGCAAACAGCAGGCUCCCCCUCUGUAGUUGUCAGCGUGUGAAUGACUUGUUAUCCUUGGUGACACCCUGGCUGUCUAGCAAAGUCUCAACACAUAGUAUGCGUUUGGAAAUCUUUUCCCUUCUGUUUUAUUUUUGUUACAGUAUGUUAAUAAUGAUGUUGUUAAUGAUAGUGAUUAUCAUUUCAGCUACGUUAUUCAGUCCUUUUUCUCGUUCAAAGAAAUGCACACAAAUGGAUACCCCAGCAACCAGUCCCAAAUCUUAGCUCCAGAUGAAUUCUGCUUCUCCUGAACUUUCUGACGCUUCUAUGUAAUCAUCCCAGCCCAAGAGUAUAUCUAGACCUGGACCAGUCAGUUCAGAGGACAUUUCCACUUGUCUGCCUCAUAUAUUAAAAGUUCCUUUGUGGAUUAAAAUAUUCCUUGUAAGAACUUCUGAAGCAAUCAAUUGCCCUCUCUGAUAAUACACUCUGUGUGUCUAGCUUCAUAUUCACUACUCUUCUUCUGCCUAAACUAAGAUAAUUCUAGAAAUCUUUCUGAAGUAUUGGUUAGAAUCACUAAAAAGCAGCAUACUGGAAAUUGUCUGAAAGCAUUGUCACUGUCCAUUAGCCCUUCCUGACUUCCCUCCCCUCCUUAUCCAAUCUAAUUCCUGAUGGCAAGUCAGGCUUUAUGUCCAUUUGCUCAGUGCACAUCUCCCUUUCCUUUAUUCCUCUAAUAAAACCUCACCAAUGUGAUGGAUUAAAAUGACCACUCACUCACCAUCUCCUUGUCAAAAUUUCUAUUUUUUUCUUUUUCCAAUCUGCUAUGUUAUUUAUAGUCAAUAACUUCCUCAUAUUUUCUGAGAUCACUUUUUAUUAUUUUAACAUAGGACACACGGUUGUUUCAGAGUCUGUCUGAUCAUUUUCACCUCUGAGAUCUUCACAGGAUAUUUUUGUGAUUUUCUUUUUGUGCAGCUUCUCAGUUAUGGUGCUUGAGUUUUCAUGGCGUUUGUAUUUCUCCUUACCAAUCUGAUGAUGUUUGACACUAUGCCAAAUGCUAUAGCUGUAGAAAUAAUUUUUGGUGUAGGAUGGACCAUAUUUUUCUGCAGCAAUCAUUUUUCUGUGCUUCUGAAAGUGCAUGUAGGUAUAAACGAUCAGACUCCCUGAAUCAGUUUAAGGCUUGAGGUGUCCUGGAGCAUCUGGAGAACAGGUUUGUCUCUGGCUUAUUGUUACUAUUGGAAUUUGGCAAUGACACAUUUGGUACGUUCUGGUCUUUGCCUUUACCCCCCUUGGCCUGUGAGUCAGCUUCCUGAGAGCUGAGUCAGGAUCUGCAAAUGCCCUCUAGGACAAAUGGACUGCUGUGCUCACCUCCCAGGGCUCUUGCCCUCACCAACAUUCCAGCCAAGUUAUUCCUUAUUUUUUUUUUAGGACUUUAAUUAAUUGAAAUUUUUAAUGUUGUUUUUGAUAUUUUUUCCAACUAUGUAGAUAACAACAGAAAGAGUGAGUGCCAUUAUCCUUAAUUAUUGGGAUUAAGGUGAAAAUAACUUUACUUGGAAUUCUAAUUUUCCUUGAAUUUUAAUGUUAGAUUCUUUGUGAUGUGCCUGAUAUUUAACUUAAAUGGUAUAGAGAUAUUAAACUCUGAUAUCAAAUACUUUUUUAAAAAAAACUUAAAGGCCAUUCAUAAUCCAAUUGAGACAUAUCUUUGUUUGGGGCAUGUUAUUACUAGGGUAUUCUUAUAUUGUUAUUUAUUUCUAUCACAUAACCUCUGUGUUCCAUUGGACCAUAUGGCAAGAUGAGAAACACAAUCAAGAGAAUGUUGAGAUUAGGUCAGAUAGUAUAGAUUGGGCUUCAAAUUAACUUAAUUACUGCACUCUGGGGGUGUAUUUUUGCUGUUUUAUGAGUAUUCCCCAGGGGCAGUGGUCAAAAUUGGAGGGAGUAACUGAUAUGUUACCAUUGUUUUACCCCGUUUAAAGCCAGUCUCCUGGGACAACAGUUUGUUCCAUAUACCCCAUUUUGUGGGGCACCCCAAAAAUAAUAAUCCUGUUUUGAUCUUCCCAUUCCUUGCCAAACCUUCUCUAUGGAAGGGAAAUCAGUUAUAGUAUUUGUUCUCUUCAUUUUAGUCUCUCCUUAUUUCCUGUUUUCCUCCUGGUUCCCUAGAGAAAAGGUAGAUUCUUUGGUGCGUUUUCAACGUGUGCUAAGAUCAGUGGCGAACUUUCUCUUCCAUGCAGGGCUAGCCUGCCGUUUGGAGGGGACAGAGAAUGGUUAAAUUCUGAUUCAGCAUCAUGUUAGCCCGCCCGUCAAGUUUCACAUUGAGACCUGCUGCUUACCAGUAUUAAACCUGGCAUUAUGUUUCCACCUUUCUGACCGCAUUGUCAAUGUCUCAGGUGUCUCUGUCCUACCCCAUAGCACUAAUAUUAUUCGCUGGCCUUCUAACACUAACUAAUCAUAAUAUUCUAUAUGCCCCGUACUCAGUGAAACAAAGCCCAAGUCCCUGUGUCUUGGCAAAAGACAGCACAUUUGUGCUGUUCCAGCCUGCUGGCCACUAGGAGGCACUGUGGCUUCGCUGUCAUCCAGGGUCUACAGGGAGGAGCAGAGAUUGCUCCCUGGAAAAAGAUGGUUAAGGGUUACUCUGAGGUUGGACCUAGAUUCAGGGAGUUGGUUUGCAGAGGUCUUGAAUGAUGGCUGGGAAUAAAGGAAUUAGUAACCGACCCUUCUUCCUCCAUUGUAGAGGUGGGUUUUGCUUUAAAUUGAGCUUUGAGUGGGGCUGAGUGACAGGUGUGCUUUGCAGUGCAUAUACCUCUGAGCUCGCUUAAGAUGUGGGGGCACAAGGAGCUGGGGCGGUGCAGGGCCCAUGUUCUGAGCUGAGAAAACCAGAGAAGGAGUUCUUGUGUCAAAGGAGCCUUGGAAAGCCUGGCCCCAAACCAGCCAAGGCCAACCCUACCUGCUCUGUAGAGAGUAGAAUAGCAAGAAAUGGAGGUGCUACCCAGGACCACAGCAGAGGGACCCUCUCCCCAGGGAGUUGACAAUCACAGUGAUGCCACCAUCAUAUCCACAUAUGAGGCAUAGUCCAGUGUGUAUCCUGGAAGAAGAUGAGGCCUAGGCAGACAUAAGAAGAUGUUUUUGAAUAGGCUUCCCUUGGGCUGAUUUUAAAUUCUUUCCAUAUGAUCAUGCAUCUGUCUCUACCUGUAUUUUCUAUCUGGCUUCUGCCUCUCACCCAUCAGUCCCAUGGCUACUAGAAGGUAUUCAAUUUGUAUUGACAGAAACUACCAAUAACUUUAUGGCUUAUAAUGACAAAAACUUAUUACCUUACAGUUCUGCAGGUCAGAAGUCCAAAACUGGGCUAAAAUCCAGGUAUUGGCAGGGCUACAUUCCUUCCCGAGGCUCUCGGGUAGAACUAUCUUUCUCUUCUAUUCAGCUUCUAGAGGCCACCAGCGUUCCUUGGCUCAUGGCCCCAUUCAAUCUUCAAAGCCAACAGGGACUCUGCAUCACUCUGAGGCUCACUCUUCAUUCUCUCUCUUCCACAUUUUAGGACCCUUGUGAUUACAUUGGGCCCACCUGGAAAAUCCAGGACAGGCUCCCUGUAUUAAGGCCAGCUGAUUAGCAAUCUUCAUUCCAUUUGGAACAUUCCUUUCUCCCCUUGUCACAUAAUUUGACACAUUCCCAGUUUCUGGGAAUUAGACGAGGACAUCUUUAAGAGGUCAUCACGCUGCCUGCCAUACUUGGUACCUGGUUACAGGAAGUAAUAAGCAAUUAACUUUUUGAA